GACGAAGGGGGCUAGCGUUGCUCGGAAUGACUGGGCGUAAAGGGCGCGUAGGCGGAUGGCACAGUCAGAUGUGAAAUUCCCGGGCUUAACCUGGGGGCUGCAUUUGAUACGUGUUGUCUUGAGUUCGGAAGAGGGUCGUGGAAUUCCCAGUGUAGAGGUGAAAUUCGUAGAUAUUGGGAAGAACACCGGUGGCGAAGGCGGCGACCUGGUCCGACACUGACGCUGAGGCGCGAAAGCGUGGGGAGCAAACAGG
rnacentral:rRNA from 1 species